rnacentral:sRNA from 1 species
UUCUGUCCUGCUCCUGCAUCUUGCCAGUCCGCGAGUUUCUUUCUUGAAGGUGUGGGGGCUAGAUUCAUUCACGUGCUUCGUAACGAAAUAAUCCAAAAAA